rnacentral:misc_RNA from 1 species
GAAAUGGUGAACCGAUUACUUGCAAGAAAAUGGGACAGGAAAAUUAGGUUUCACAAAUUCAAACAUGGUCAUAAACCUCUAAACAAAAUAUAAGCUAAAAGCAAGUAACAUGUCCAACAAGAUCCUACUACCCUUCCAAAUAAAAACACUCUUGCGACCAAUUGCAGAAUAAAGAACCCCAUUUAGAAGAGAGAUGUCCCCUUUCCCUUCUUGUCUCCACCA